AAGGGUUCCAGUCCAACGUUAAUCGGGGCUGGGUGAGUCGACCCCUAAGGCGAGGCCGAAAGGCGUAGUCGAUGGGAAAAUGGUUAAUAUUCCAUUACUUCUGUGUAAUGCGAUGAGAGGACGGAGAAGGCUAAAUCAGCCUGGCGUUGGUUGUCCAGGUGAAAGGAUGUAGGCAUGUAUCUUAGGCAAAUCCGGGGUACUCUAUGCUGAGAUCUGAUAGCAAGCUGUACUUGUACAGCGAAGUGGUUGAUGCCAUGCUUCCAGGAAAAGUCUCUAAGCUUCAGUUACACAGGAAUCGUACCCGAAACCGACACAGGUGGUCAGGUCGAGUAGACCAAGGCGCUUGAGAGAACUCUGCUGAAGGAACUAGGCAAAAUGGUACCGUAACUUCGGGAGAAGGUACGCUGUUGUUGGUGAUGGAACUCGCUUCCUGAGCUGACGACAGCCGCAGAAACCAGGCCGCUGCAACUGUUUAUUAAAAACAUAGCACUCUGCAAACACGAAAGUGGACGUAUAGGGUGUGAUGCCUGCCCGGUGCUGGAAGGUUAAUUGAUGGGGUUAGCGUAAGCGAAGCUCUUGAUCGAAGCCCCAGUAAACGGCGGCCGUAACUAUAACGGUCCUAAGGUAGCGAAAUUCCUUGUCGGGUAAGUUCCGACCUGCACGAAUGGCAUAAUGAUGGCGGCGCUGUCUCCAGCAGAGGCUCAGUGAAAUCGAAAUCGCUGUGAAGAUGCAGUGUACCCGCGGCUAGACGGAAAGACCCCGUGAACCUUUACUGCAGCUUGACACUGAACUUUGACCUUACUUGUGUAGGAUAGGUGGGAGGCUUUGAAGCUGGAACGCUAGUUCCAGUGGAGCCGUCCUUGAAAUACCACCCUGGUAAUGUUGAGGUUCUAACUCUGUCCCGUGAUCCGGGACGAGGACCGUGUCUGGUGGGUAGUUUGACUGGGGCGGUCUCCUCCUAAAGAGUAACGGAGGAGUACGAAGGUGCGCUCAGCGUGGUCGGAAAUCACGCGUAGAGUAUAAAGGCAAAAGCGCGCUUAACUGCGAGACCCACAAGUCGAGCAGGUACGAAAGUAGGUCUUAGUGAUCCGGUGGUUCUGUAUGGAAGGGCCAUCGCUCAACGGAUAAAAGGUACUCUGGGGAUAACAGGCUGAUACCGCCCAAGAGUUCAUAUCGACGGCGGUGUUUGGCACCUCGAUGUCGGCUCAUCUCAUCCUGGGGCUGAAGCAGGUCCCAAGGGUAUGGCUGUUCGCCAUUUAAAGAGGUACGCGAGCUGGGUUUAGAACGUCGUGAGACAGUUCGGUCCCUAUCUACCGUGGGCGCUGGAAAUUUGAGAGGAUCUGCUCCUAGUACGAGAGGACCAGAGUGGACGAACCUCUGGUGUACCGGUUGUGACGCCAGUCGCAUCGCCGGGUAGCUAUGUUCGGAAGGGAUAACCGCUGAAAGCAUCUAAGCGGGAAGCCUACCUCAAGAUAAGAUUUCCCUAGGACUUUAUGUCCUCUAAAGAGCCGUUCGAGACUAGGACGUUGAUAGGUUGGAUGUGGAAGCAUAGUGAUAUGUGAAGCUGACCAAUACUAAUUGCUCGUGAGGCUUGACUAUACAACACCCAAGCAGUUG
rnacentral:rRNA from 1 species